GGCAGCUAAGGCGGGGAGCCAGGGGUUCCCCAUCCGCAAACCCCCUUUAGGCGGGCCAAUGCCUGCUAGUGCUUCAGGGCAUUUCAGGACCUGGGCGGAAGCGUCGAUGUUUCGCCUCUGGUGGUAGCUGCAUAUUCGAACCGGGCCAGGCCGGAAGGAGCAACCCUAAGUAUAUGUUCGCUAUGCUCCAGAGAUACGGAGCGGAGUGGAAGUCCAGACAAUCCUGCCGUGUCCUGCUGUGCAACGCAGGCUGCUGCC
rnacentral:SRP_RNA from 1 species